CCCCUGUGUACCCUCGCCCACAUCCUGCUUUCUUCCCCAUCAAGGACUCCCUCCACCUGAGGUGGAAACUCCUGUGUCCAGAGAGGGGGCAGGAGGAGCCUGCAGGAAGUGAAGACGGGGUUCUGAGGGCAUGGGGGAGUUGGCGUGUUGGAUGCUUCAGGCCCAUCCAGGAUCCGAGGCCUGGCCAGGGAGCUUGUGUCUGGGAGUAUGCUCCCUGGCCUGAAAAACAGAACACCUCCUUGAUCCUCUUGGCUCCUCCCUGCCGGGUCCAAGCAGUACAGGGCCUCGGGGAAAAAAGCACCGUGACCUGCGUGGCUCAGAGCAACGGAAAUGUAUUUUCUCAUAGUUCUGGAGGCUAGAAGUUUGGAAUCAAGGUGUGGGCAGGGCCGUGCUCCCUUGAAACCUGCAGGACAAGAAGCCUUCCUUGCCUCUCCUUAGCUUCUGGUGAUUUGCUGGCAGUCUGUAGUGUUCCUUGGUUUGCCGCUGCAUCACUCCAAUCUCUGUGUGUCUGUCCCAUAUUUCCCCUUUGUAUAAGGACCCCCUAAUUACCUCCUUUCAACCUGAUUACCUACGUAAAGACCCUAGUUCCAAAAAGGUUGUAUUCUAAGGUAUUGGGGAUAAGGAUUUCAACAUAUCUUUUUUGUGGGUGGGGAGACUCCAUUCAGUCCAUGAUUCUGGGUGUCCAUGCUGUGCCCAGCACUGUGCCAGGCACUGGGGAUGUCGCAGGAAGCUUGAUGGACAUAAUCCCUGUCCUCAUGGACCUUAUCCUCUCUUGUUUUAGCUAUA